UACGGGGGGGCAAGCGUUGUUCGGAAUUACUGGGCGUAAAGGGCUCGUAGGCGGCCGUCUCAGUCAGACGUGAAAUCCCUCGGCUUAACCGAGGAACUGCGUCUGAUACUGGAUGGCUUGAAUCCGGGAGAGGGAUGCGGAAUUCCAGGUGUAGCGGUGAAAUGCGUAGAUAUCUGGAGGAACACCGGUGGCGAAGGCGGCAUCCUGGACCGGUAUUGACGCUGAGUGAGCGAAAGCCAGGGGAGCAAACAGG
rnacentral:rRNA from 1 species